rnacentral:rRNA from 1 species
CAGCCGUAUACUAUGCGCGUUAGGUGUAUCGGUGACCACGAGUUACCGAGGUGCCGAAGGGAAACCGUGAAACGUGCCGCCUGGGAAGUACGGUCGCAAGGCUGAAACUUAAAGGAAUUGGCGGGGGAGCACCACAAUGGGUGGAGCCUGCGGUUUAAUUGGACUCAACGCCGGGAAGCUCACCGGAUAAGACAGCGGAAUGAUUGCCGGGCUGAAGACUCUGCAUGACUAGCUGAGAGGUGGUGCAUGGCGUGUGACUGU